UGUAAAAAAAAUCUGUAAAAUAACAGUUAAAUGACUGUAUAUUUUAACAGAUUUUUUCCGUAUACACGUAUUACGGGUGUUUUUCCGUUUAUAUACAUUUUCGAAUUGCAUUGUGGGAAGGGGAUCGCAGCUCAGACAGCGUUUGAUGGACACCGGGACAUAUUUCUUCCUCUGUUUUUUCCCUGGUAAGUACGAUUAAUAAAACAUAUAACAAUAUUUUAGUUAAAAGACUGCUUUAUUACCUUUUUAUCGUUAUUUAAAAUGAUUUUUGUCUUUUAUGAAGCGCCCAUGGAAAGUACAGCAUUGUUUGUCCGUAUUUUUCUAAACUGCCGUGCGCGGGAAGUGGCGUGACGUCCAAUCACCCACUCACUCCCUCUGCACCUGACUGGAUUAACGGUAAACGUCAGUUUGUCUGUAAGAGUGUAAAAGGUAUGUUAAUUAUUUUAUAGAAAUAUAAAUGUUUUCUUUGUACAGUGCAUUGAACAAGGGAUAGCAUUCAAAGUUUGUGUCACUGUGUAGUUUGGUUGAUAUACGUUACCUUUAAUGAACACUAACGUUAACGUGUUUCAAACGCUCGUAACACCUGACCGUCUGUGUUUGUUUGCAUAUUAAUGACUAAUUUCAUAUUUUUACUGACGUUAUCAAAUGUUAGCUUUAGUUUGACCGACGUAUUAAGGCUGUGUGACCGAGUUUCAGUGGAACAGCUUUGCUGGUUUUUAAGUAAGUUAUAAGUUAGACUCGCGUGAAUUGGAGGCAUUUGUAACUCGGUAUGAGGGGAAAUACACACUCGUAAAGUUUUUAUUAGUGGUGGGCCGUUAUCAGCAUUAACGUGCUGCGUUAACGCGAGACUUAUCGCGCGGUAAAAAAAAAUAUAUCGCCGUUAAUCUAUUCUCAACGUUGGGUUGGGAGCUGGGUGACUUUCAUACUUUGAUAUUUUAGCGCGGAUGUAUACCUGACCGGUGAGCCGUCUGACAAACAAGUGCCCUUAUGAAUCAAAUCAGCAGGAUGCCUGACUUUAACUGCAGUUCGGCAGUUUCACUUUAACUCAUGAACAUUUCAUUCAUCCCGCGUGACAAACUGGGGUAAUAGACGCAAAUAAGAAGCAAGAACUGAUGAGAAUGUUAUGGAAUUUAACAACGCUCGCCAAAUGGAACGAAAAAAAAAACUUCCGCAUUUCGCGACGCGUGUUUGUGUGUACAGAGAUAACAGAGUGAUACAGUACGUGUGUGACAUUUAAAAGUAUUUAUAGUGUUUACACUGUCAUGCGUUUUCGGCCUCAAAUACAACGUGUACCUUAAAGCAGACAAUUAAAUGUUUGUUGUAGUCGAGUUGAACUGUCAUUGAUAUUUAUUUAUUCACUUUUAAGAACCUCAAGGGCAGCUAAUAUGAAGAUAUAAAGAUGAGUUGUUCUUCCACAGUCUUAAAAUUCUUCAAACUAAUUGUCAGUUCGAUUCAUUAUAGCAAACAAUACUUUCUUUACUAUUAGGAGAUCAGGAGUUUUAUUUUAAUGAAACCUUGAUAAUAGAGUGAACUACACAUGGUGUUAUCGCAAAUGAAAUCUUUUUAUGUAGAUUUUAAGUGAGUUUUAUUUGCACAAAUAAGGUUCACUGAUAUUUUGCUUUGUUGACUUUCAGGUUCUUUCAUUUUGGUUAUAAGUACAUGUUACAGGUAAAUUCUUAGAUUCAAUCCAAACUGAAUUUGAAUUAAUACGGACAAAUGAAAUAAAAUACACCUGGGAUUUUAAAUGUUUUCAUUUUUUUAUUAUUCACAACGUUUGUGAAGUCUAAAUGUAGACUGUCUCAAACUGAAUAAGUGUUAUUUUUGUUGUAGGUGUGUUGGUGUAAAAAUUGAUGCUGACUGAACUCAGGCAGUUGUGCUGGACCAUCUGUACCUAAUACAGGGGAUGACAGUAAACUUCCAAGUUUAAGAGCCACCUGAUGAUGAGAGAGACAAUUUCAAUGUGGGCAUCUUGAUGAAGAAGAGUCCACAGUCACAAUAACAAGAUCAUUGAGCUGUCCCCUAAUUGUGGUGAGCUACAUGUUUAGUCUCUUAUGUGCUAAACAUUAUGUAGCCUAAGGAAGCAGCCCUGACUCUGGAGUUUAUAUGAAGGAGCAUGCUGAGUAACUAUCCAAAAUGUAGGUCCAUAGCAGAAAAAAGUGCACCAAGCAGAAACAUACCAUCUAAACUCCUUCGAUUCCUGUCAGACCAGAAAGACUUUCAGAAUCCUUGGAAGAUUUAAAGCCAUUGAAGUAUCAGUAUUGGAGCGGAAGAAGAUCCAGUUGUAUCGUCUGUUUCCUGCCAUCUUGCAGUUAACCUGGUUUCUUAAUGUAAAGUACUUGUAAUUUGCCCACUUGUCCUCAAUUAUCUUAAAGCUAACAUUUAAAACUAAUUUGCUUUGAGAUUAUUUGCCAAGACUUCUCACUGUGUGAUUCACAUGUCAAUAUGUAUUUAUUGUGUGUAUAACUUGCUAUUUGGAAUUCAAAUGAUUUGUAUUCAUUAAAGAAUCUG